rnacentral:lncRNA from 1 species
CUCAAGAUAUAAAUGAUUAUGUAUAUACUUGUAUUUAUGGAGAAAAUAGAAUAAUAAUAAAGGAGAGAGUGAGAGUUGGUCGUGUGAUUGUGAUGAGUAAAGAAGAAAGUAAUCUUCUUAUUAUUGUUGUAUCUUUUUCAUUUGCUACGAAUAAGAACUUAACUCAGCUAUUUAUAGUGCAACAAAAUUACAUAGUCAUCAUCUCUUUAAUAGAGAACAAGAAACGUAG